rnacentral:rRNA from 1 species
AAAUUGAAGAGUUUGAUCAUGGCUCAGAUUGAACGCUGGCGGCAGGCCUAACACAUGCAAGUCGAACGGUAACAGGAAACAGCUUGCUGUUUCGCUGACGAGUGGCGGACGGGUGAGUAAUGUCUGGGAAACUGCCCGAUGGAGGGGGAUAACUACUGGAAACGGUAGCUAAUACCGCAUAACGUCGCAAGACCAAAGAGGGGGACCUUCGGGCCUCUUGCCAUCGGAUGUGCCCAGAUGGGAUUAGCUUGUUGGUGAGGUAACGGCUCACCAAGGCGACGAUCCCUAGCUGGUCUGAGAGGAUGACCAGCCACACUGGAACUGAGACACGGUCCAGACUCCUACGGGAGGCAGCAGUGGGGAAUAUUGCACAAUGGGCGCAAGCCUGAUGCAGCCAUGCCGCGUGUAUGAAGAAGGCCUUCGGGUUGUAAAGUACUUUCAGCGGGGAGGAAGGGAGUAAAGUUAAUACCUUUGCUCAUUGACGUUACCCGCAGAAGAAGCACCGGCUAACUCCGUGCCAGCAGCCGCGGUAAUACGGAGGGUGCAAGCGUUAAUCGGAAUUACUGGGCGUAAAGCGCACGCAGGCGGUUUGUUAAGUCAGAUGUGAAAUCCCCGGGCUCAACCUGGGAACUGCAUCUGAUACUGGCAAGCUUGAGUCUCGUAGAGGGGGGUAGAAUUCCAGGUGUAGCGGUGAAAUGCGUAGAGAUCUGGAGGAAUACCGGUGGCGAAGGCGGCCCCCUGGACGAAGACUGACGCUCAGGUGCGAAAGCGUGGGGAGCAAACAGGAUUAGAUACCCUGGUAGUCCACGCCGUAAACGAUGUCGACUUGGAGGUUGUGCCCUUGAGGCGUGGCUUCCGGAGCUAACGCGUUAAGUCGACCGCCUGGGGAGUACGGCCGCAAGGUUAAAACUCAAAUGAAUUGACGGGGGCCCGCACAAGCGGUGGAGCAUGUGGUUUAAUUCGAUGCAACGCGAAGAACCUUACCUGGUCUUGACAUCCACGGAAGUUUUCAGAGAUGAGAAUGUGCCUUCGGGAACCGUGAGACAGGUGCUGCAUGGCUGUCGUCAGCUCGUGUUGUGAAAUGUUGGGUUAAGUCCCGCAACGAGCGCAACCCUUAUCCUUUGUUGCCAGCGGUCCGGCCGGGAACUCAAAGGAGACUGCCAGUGAUAAACUGGAGGAAGGUGGGGAUGACGUCAAGUCAUCAUGGCCCUUACGACCAGGGCUACACACGUGCUACAAUGGCGCAUACAAAGAGAAGCGACCUCGCGAGAGCAAGCGGACCUCAUAAAGUGCGUCGUAGUCCGGAUUGGAGUCUGCAACUCGACUCCAUGAAGUCGGAAUCGCUAGUAAUCGUGGAUCAGAAUGCCACGGUGAAUACGUUCCCGGGCCUUGUACACACCGCCCGUCACACCAUGGGAGUGGGUUGCAAAAGAAGUAGGUAGCUUAACCUUCGGGAGGGCGCUUACCACUUUGUGAUUCAUGACUGGGGUGAAGUCGUAACAAGGUAACCGUAGGGGAACCUGCGGUUGGAUCACCUCCUUA